UCCGAAUUGGUGUAGUGGUCAACAUUCGAGAUUCUCAUCGGUUUACCUCCUGACUUCUCGAGCCCGGGGUUCGAUUCCCCGAUUCGGAG